UACGGAGGGUGCGAGCGUUGUCCGGAAUCACUGGGCGUAAAGGGCGCGUAGGCGGCCUGAUAAGUAGGGGGUGAAAUCCUGCGGCUUAACCGCAGGGCUGCCUUCUAAACUGUCAGGCUUGAGCACAGUAGAGGCAGGUGGAAUUCCCGGUGUAGCGGUGAAUGACGUAGAUAUCGGGAGGAACACCAGUGGCGAAGGCGACUACCUGGCCUGUUCUUGACGCUGAGGCGCGAAAGCUAGGGGAGCAAACGGG
rnacentral:rRNA from 1 species